rnacentral:lncRNA from 1 species
UAACCAACUGGCUUGUAUGUACAUCCUUGUCUGCUAAUGGAUGCAGUAUAUCAGAUUCCACCCCCCCACCCAGUUCCCUCUACUGGUUGAACUAGUGGAGUUUCUCCUUUACCUCACUGGGAAUUCUGAGAGCUAUAUGUUGUGAAUGAGAGUUCUGAUGCAGCAUGUAUGCAGUUAACUAACAAUAGUAACAAUAUCCAUGAGGAAACAAAGAUUAUUACAAUCAUGUUUAACAUAAUACAUUUGUACUGAUAUUGAAAGGGCUGUUAUACUCUGAAAAAUAACUAAGUGGCAUUUCUUCUCUAUGAUUCUAUAUUAUAUUUUUUCCGAUUACAGAAUUUUGAACAGCCAAAACCACAAACCUGUCUUGGGAUGAGAGUCAAACUGUAUUCUUCUGGCUCACCACCAGAAAUCAGUAUUCACCACCAAAAUUUAGAUAACAAUUAUCUGGCUUAUGCAUGAUCCAGAAUAGAAUACAGUUCAUCCUCACAUAAUACUACAACCUUAGCUAAUCAGAGUAAAAAAUAACUUAUUUUUGUCAGAAAAAUAAACAGAUUUAACUUUGAAUUUGCAUAGGGAGCUAAUCUGGAUACUAAAAUGGUGCCAUUUUUCAUCACUUAACAACCUUAACAACACUUUAAGAAACAGCACUGAUGGUUUCCAAAAAGAAUCCAAUCUAGUCUUAGGUUCAAAAAUCAUAAUGACUUGUGGAUUCGUUAGGAGCCCACUUCACUUUUAGGGACAUGAUUAACCUAAAAGCAUUUUAAAUUAAAUAAAAUUAAACAUUUGUUUCAGAACAAAGAAUCAUCUGUGGCAGUUGAUGAAGACGGGCAGCCAUCCUUGCCCUCGGUGAACACCAGAGUAGUGGUAUCAUCACUGCCAUCAUCAUCGCCAGACAAAAUGCUGUCACCAUCUCUUUCAUCAACUUCCUCUGUGUUGCUUACACCCAGACCAGGUUAUACAUUAUACCCAACUUUUAAUUGUGAUUACUUGAACAUUAAGCUUUAUUAAAGAUCCUNUAGACCAGGUUAUACAUUAUACCCAACUUUUAAUUAUCAGAGGGUAGCCGUGUU